rnacentral:rRNA from 1 species
CAGCCGCCACGGGAAUACGGAGGGUGCAAGCGUUAAUCGGAAUUACUGGGCGUAAAGCGCACGCAGGCGGUUUGUUAAGUCAGAUGUGAAAUCCCCGAGCUUAACUUGGGAACUGCAUUUGAAACUGGCAAGCUAGAGUCUUGUAGAGGGGGGUAGAAUUCCAGGUGUAGCGGUGAAAUGCGUAGAGAUGUGGAGGAACACCGAUGGCGAAGGCAGCCCCCUGGGCCAAUACUGACGCUCAUGCACGAAAGCGUGGGGAGCAAACAGGAUUAGAUACCCCGGUAGUCCCUGUCUCUUAUAC